CACGUAGUUAGCCGGGGCUUCUUAGUCAGGUACCGUCAUUUUCUUUCCUGCUGAUAGAGCUUUACGUACCGAAAUACUUCUUCACUCACGCGGCGUUGCUCCGUCAGGCUUUCGCCCAUUGCGGAAGAUUCCCUACUGCUGCCUCCCGUAGGAGUCUGGACCGUGUCUCAGUUCCAGUGUGGCCGAUCACCCUCUCAGGUCGGCUACGUAUCGUCGCCUUGGUAAGCCGUUACCUUACCAACUAGCUAAUACGGCGCGGGUCCAUCUAUAAGUGAUAGCAAAACCAUCUUUCACUUUAGAACCAUGCGGUUCUAAAUGUUAUCCGGUAUUAGCUCCGGUUUCCCGAAGUUAUCCCAGUCUUAUAGGUAGGUUACCCACGUGUUACUCACCCGUCCGCCGCUAACUUCAAAGGAGCAAGCUCCUUAUCUGUUCGCUCGACUUGCAUGUAUUAGGCACGCCGCCAGCGUUCAUCCUGAGCCAGGAUCAAACUCU
rnacentral:rRNA from 1 species